rnacentral:rRNA from 1 species
CUAACACAUGCAAGUCGAGCGGUAACAGAGAGUAGCUUGCUACUUUGCUGACGAGCGGCGGACGGGUGAGUAAUGCUUGGGAACAUGCCUUGAGGUGGGGGACAACAGUUGGAAACGACUGCUAAUACCGCAUAAUGUCUACGGACCAAAGGGGGCUUCGGCUCUCGCCUUUAGAUUGGCCCAAGUGGGAUUAGCUAGUUGGUGAGGUAAUGGCUCACCAAGGCAACGAUCCCUAGCUGGUUUGAGAGGAUGAUCAGCCACACUGGGACUGAGACACGGCCCAGACUCCUACGGGAGGCAGCAGUGGGGAAUAUUGCACAAUGGGCGCAAGCCUGAUGCAGCCAUGCCGCGUGUGUGAAGAAGGCCUUCGGGUUGUAAAGCACUUUCAGUCAGGAGGAAAGGUUAGUAGUUAAUACCUGCUAGCUGUGACGUUACUGACAGAAGAAGCACCGGCUAACUCCGUGCCAGCAGCCGCGGUAAUACGGAGGGUGCGAGCGUUAAUCGGAAUUACUGGGCGUAAAGCGUACGCAGGCGGUUUGUUAAGCGAGAUGUGAAAGCCCCGGGCUCAACCUGGGAACUGCAUUUCGAACUGGCAAACUAGAGUGUGAUAGAGGGUGGUAGAAUUUCAGGUGUAGCGGUGAAAUGCGUAGAGAUCUGAAGGAAUACCGAUGGCGAAGGCAGCCACCUGGGUCAACACUGACGCUCAUGUACCAAAGCGUGGGGAGCAA